AACGCGAAGAACCUUACCAGGUCUUGACAUGGACAGUAUGGAUCCCGGAAAUGGGAUCCUUCAGUUUGGCUGGCUGUUCACAGGUGCUGCAUGGCUGUCGUCAGCUCGUGUCGUGAGAUGUUGGGUUAAGUCCCGCAACGAGCGCAACCCUCAUCCUUAGUUGCCAACAGGUUAAGCUGGGAACUCUAAGGAAACUGCCGGUGAUAAGCCGGAGGAAGGUGGGGAUGACGUCAAGUCUUCAUGGUCCUUACGACCUGGGCUACACACGUGCUACAAUGGCGAUGACAAUGGGGAGCUAACCUGCAAGGGUGUGCAAAUCUCAAAAAGUCGUCUCAGUUCGGAUUGCACUCUGCAACUCGAGUGCAUGAAGCUGGAAUCGCUAGUAAUCGUAGAUCAGCAUGCUACGGUGAAUACGUUCCCGGGCCUUGUACACACCGACGCAC
rnacentral:rRNA from 1 species